rnacentral:rRNA from 1 species
UACAGAGGGUGCAAGCGUUAAUCGGAAUUACUGGGCGUAAAGCGCGCGUAGGUGGUUUGUUAAGUUGAAUGUGAAAGCCCCGGGCUCAACCUGGGAACUGCAUCCAAACUGGCAAGCUAGAGUAUGGUAGAGGGUGGUGGAAUUUCCUGUGUAGCGGUGAAAUGCGUAGAUAUAGGAAGGAACACCAGUGGCGAAGGCGACCACCUGGACUGAUACUGACACUGAGGUGCGAAAGCGUGGGGAGCAAACAGG